rnacentral:rRNA from 1 species
AAUCAACGCUGGCGGCGUGCCUAACACAUGCAAGUCGAGCGCGAAAGGGGGAGCAAUCCCCAAGUAGAGCGGCGAACGGGUGAGUAACGCGUGGGUAAUCUGCCUCCGAGUGGGGAACAACACCGGGAAACUGGUGCUAAUACCGCAUGACAUCGUUGGACCUUCGGAUCUGACGAUCAAAGCCGGGGACCGGCAAGGCCUGGCGCUUGGAGAGGAGCCCGCGUCCGAUUAGCAGUUGGUGGGGUAAUGGCCCACCAAGGCUACGAUCGGUAGCCGGCCUGAGAGGGCGGACGGCCACACUGGGACUGAGACACGGCCCAGACUCCUACGGGAGGCAGCAGUGGGGAAUUUUCNCAAUGGGCGAAAGCCUGACGAAGCAAUGCCGCGUGGAGGAUGAAGG